AUGAGCUCUUUCGCGGCAGAGACCUUGGCAUCCUGGAUGAUCUCCUGCUUCUCGCCAUCCAUGUCAAGUAGCCUUUGAGCAGCCUCAUCCUUGGUAGCCCGGAGCUCCUUCUCAAGAUCGGCUAUCUUGAGAUCCUUUAACACGCCCAUUUGUUGGAGGUCGGCGAUCUGGCUCUCCUGAUCCUCGACGUGGCCAAGGAUAUACAGGCAGAAUAUACAAGCAGGAUAUUAGAGAAGGAUAAC
rnacentral:lncRNA from 1 species